GCUUUAUUAGUAUAAAUAGUACGUUUGAUUUCCAAUUAAAAAGUCCUUGUUAAAAGUCAAGGAUGGAGUA
rnacentral:tRNA from 1 species